rnacentral:rRNA from 1 species
AACGAACGCUGGCGGCAGGCUUAACACAUGCAAGUCGAACGCAUGCCUUCGGGCAUGAGUGGCAGACGGGUGAGUAACGCGUGGGAACCUACCCCUUGGUACGGGAUAGCUCCGGGAAACUGGAUAUAAUACCGUAUGUGUCCUGAGGGUCAAAGAUUCAUCGCCAAGGGAUGGGCCCGCGUCGGAUUAGCUAGUUGGUUGGGUAACGGGCUACCCAGGCGACGAUCCGUGGCUGGUCUAAGAGGAUGAUCAGCCACAUUGGGGCUGAGACACGGCCCAAACUCCGACGGAAGGCAGCAGUGGGGAAUAUUGGACAAUGGGCGCAAGCCUGAUCCAGCCAUGCCGCGUGAGUGAUGAAGGCCCUAGGGUUGUAAAGCUCUUUCACCGGUGACGAUAAUGACGGUAACCGGAGAAGAAGCCCCGGCUAACUUCGUG